CAGGGGAAAGGUGCAUCAGUUAUACUCUGGCUGCCAGCAGGAACAGUGAUUAAGGUUCUGUUGCUUCUCUCCCCAUUUAGAAAGCAUGAAAGCUCUGCUGUGUGUGGGACUGAGUCUUACAAGAUGUGUUCAUAUCUCUCCUUCUCUACUACGAUUCCAAGCCCCUAAAUUUCUCUUUCUACAGUUGGCAUCUUAUGCUGUCCCCUGUCAGCACAAUGUGACAAAGUAGGCAUCCCAGGCCAACCCUGAGGACUGAGUCUCUUCCUCAUACCUGUGUCUUCUCCCUGUCUCACCUGUACCACAUUGGGCUCUGGGACUCCUUCAUCCCUUAUGGAACCUUACUUAGGUUUCUAUGUGCAGCUUCUUCCCUAUUGAAAAAUAAGGAUGUAGAUAUAGUUUUAUUUUUUAUUUUUUACCUUUUGGAUAAAAGCUGUUCUUCAUGUUGUUAAAAGCAGAUUUGUAAAUUUGAAAGGAAAUAAAACAUGAUAACUCACAAA